GGGCGAUUGGUUUAGUGGUAUAACGUCUGCUUAGCAUCGAUGAGUUGUUCCUACAACUACAGUGCUUGCUGAAGGUCGCGCGUUCGAUUCGCGCAUUGUCCA
rfam:Verticillium dahliae VdLs.17 supercont1.16 genomic scaffold, whole genome shotgun sequence.